GACGAACGCUGGCGGCGUGCUUAACACAUGCAAGUCGAACGGAAAGGCCCUGCUUUUGUGGGGUGCUCGAGUGGCGAACGGGUGAGUAACACGUGAGUAACCUGCCCUUGACUUUGGGAUAACUUCAGGAAACUGGGGCUAAUACCGGAUAGGGGCUCCUGCUGCAUGGUGGGGGUUGGAAAGUUUCGGCGGUUGGGGAUGGACUCGCGGCUUAUCAGCUUGUUGGUGGGGUAGUGGCUUACCAAGGCUUUGACGGGUAGCCGGCCUGAGAGGGUGACCGGCCACAUUGGGACUGAGAUACGGCCCAGACUCCUACGGGAGGCAGCAGUGGGGAAUAUUGCACAAUGGGCGGAAGCCUGAUGCAGCAACGCCGCGUGCGGGAUGACGGCCUUCGGGUUGUAAACCGCUUCCGCCUGUGACGAAGCGUGAGUGACGGUAAUGGGUAAAGAAGCACCGGCUAACUACGUG
rnacentral:rRNA from 1 species